UACGGAGGGUGCAAGCGUUACUCGGAAUCACUGGGCGUAAAGGGCGCGUAGGCGGCCUAGCAAGUCUGGUGUGAAAGCCCAGGGCUCAACCCUGGAAGGGCACUGGAAACUGUUAGGCUUGAGUUCCGGAGAGGAGGGGGGGAAUUCCUGGUGUAGCGGUGAAAUGCGUAGAGAUCGGGAGGAAUACCGGUGGCGAAGGCGCCCCUCUGGACGGAAACUGACGAUGAGGCGCGAAAGAGUGGGGAGCAAACAGG
rnacentral:rRNA from 1 species